CUUUGUUUUGGACUUAUCAUCAUGGAAGCCUUGCUUGAAAACAAUUAAAAGAUGGAAGAUUAUGGAACCUUUUCAUUUUAGUGAUGAAAAAACAAGAUGAAUUCAUAUGUGACUGGUAGGAUGCCAAAGCCAGAGAUGACAGCACUUCUGAGGGAAUGAGGGGCAGUAAGGAAGAUAAAAGGCCUGGCCCUUUUCUCAGUAGGCUGACAAUCAUGACAUUGUUUAGUGACAUUUUGUGAUGGGAACAAAAAGGCAACUAGGCGAUGAGGCCAGCAAACUCAUUUCACUUGUAUCCAAUGGAAGCCUCCAGAGGGAAAAGCCAGUGCAUGGCCUGGUGCAUUGCACGAAGAGGGACAAGAGGAGUCUACAAUCUCUUCAAAGUUCUCCUUCCGGCAUCAAUUCUCUCCUAGAAAGAGAUUGCUAGUGUAGUUUUGAAUAUGUCAGAGGUAGUUUCUUCAGCUUUGGUGUUACCAGCACGUCUGAAAAAUCCAAUAGCUCAAUAUGCACACAAGGUAUCUGGGAAGGGAAUUGUUGGCCUUUUGGUGACCUCUGGCACCUGAAACUCUGCUGAUUUAGUAGUUUCCCACAAAAGUGCAAUUUGUGCUGCAGUGUGGUAUAAGCCCGUAAACCCAUCAAGUGUCUUGCACAUUUCAGCUGAAUGGAUUGACAUCCAUAAAAUGAACACUGGAAUGUACACUCAGUUCUCUCUUUCUACAUUAAAACACUGCAUUUAGCUGUGAGGAGCCUUUUUCAGACUCCAUAUAAUUUAUCAUAAAACCAGCCUCAUAUUCUGCUUUGGAAGUGAGGAACCUAUAUUAAUUAAUUGUUAUGCAGAUCUUAUGUUCCAUUUAUAGCCCAUAGGAUUUUAGGAUUUAGUAAUGGGUGAAAACUGGGCAUUUGUGUUCACCUCCGCAGCCUCCACGUAACAUUCAAAAUUAGUCAAAUUUAUUCCUCCAGGGAUUUACUGUUUUACCCCAUGCUCCAGGACAAACUGCCCCACUCUGAUUAGAAAAACUGUUCUACUCCAUAGGAGUAUUAUCUGAGCAUUAGUGCAGUGUAUUUUGUUUCCACUUGAUAAAUUACUUACACAUUAGGUGCUCCAUACAGUAGGUCCUGUAAUUCUUGUUAUGUUUAAGGUACUUUGUGAUACACGGGAGAUAAUUAACUUGCACCAUUUUAGUGCAAAAAUAUAUGUUGAUCUAGGUCACAUGACAAAUGUAACCAUUCAGAGUUUAAAAUACUAUUAUUUAAAAUUUAUUUUCUUCUCAAAAUGGUUUAUGAAAUUAUCAUUUGAAUAAUUCACUGCAUAGUUAGACUAUAUUAUGUGUUGGUUCAGUUCCACAUUUGGUAACAACAGAGCUGAGAUUGCAAUUGCAGUUAAAAUAAAAAUUGAGUGACAGAAAAGAUUUAUUAUAAAUCCUUAUUUUGGGAACUUGAUAACUUUGCUGGUUCAUAUUAGGCUAAACUUCAGAAUAUACACUGACAGCCUUGAUGUAUUUUUUCAGUUAUUUUUAUAAAAUCCAGUAUAAGUCCAUUAAAUCAUUUGUGAGUUUUAGAGCAUUUUAAACUAAACCAAGUAAAUUGUAAAUCUCAUCAAAAUGAGGCACCAAUAGUACUGGCUAGACAAAGAGAGGUAUAGU